rnacentral:rRNA from 1 species
CCUACGGGAGGCAGCAGUCGAGAAUCAUUCACAAUGGGGGAAACCCUGAUGGUGCGACGCCGCGUGGGGGAAUGAAGGUCUUCGGAUUGUAAACUCCUGUCAUGUGGGAGCAAAUUAAAAAGAUAGUACCACAAGAGGAAGAGACGGCUAACUCUGUGCCAGCAGCCGCGGUAAUACAGAGGUCUCAAGCGUUGUUCGGAAUCACUGGGCGUAAAGUGUGCGUAGGCUGUUUCGUAAGUCGUGUGUGAUAGGCGCGGGCUCAACCCGCGGACGGCACAUGAUACUGCGAGACUAGAGUAAUGGAGGGGGAACCGGAAUGCUCGGUGUAGCAGUGAAAUGCGUAGAUAUCGAGAGGAACACUCGUGGCGAAGGCGGGUUCCUGGACAUUAACUGACGCUGAGGCACGAAGGCCAGGGGAGCGAAAGGGAUUAGAUACCCGAGUAGUC